UAUAACAUUUACAUACAAGUGUGAACAUGCUGCAGGUCUUACUGCUUCCUCAUACUGGGAAACUCUUACUUGGCAUAACUUUUAUGUAACUAAAAUUUUUGUGAGAUUCUAAACAAAUAUUUCUUAAUCAUGCUUCAGAAUGUUGAGGACCACUUUUGACAGUUGGCUGAACAGCUACAUCUAAUCGAUUUUAAGUUAAUGAGGUUUAUCCACGGAAGGCUUUUGUCUACAAGGAUAUCAAGGAAUUUGAGAUUGAAUUGUCCACGACCAAGCUAUUGUAUAUGCUGUCAGUUCCAUAUGACGUAAUAUUGUUCCGGAAUACAGUAAAGUGCCGGCACGCCAGUCGGGAACAUUAGAGCAGAGAGGGCUGUGAAGUAGACAUCAGCCAACUGCACACGAACAAACCCCUCUCUAGGAUGACAACCCGAUGGCAGUGCCCUCAACAAGAAGAGUACAUAAGUGCCACACCACCUGGCCAUGGCCCAUUUGAAGACUAGCCAGCUCACCAGCUUUGACAGUGACACCAAGAAUAGGCACAUGUAUAGCAGUGACUUAGGAAAUGUAUUUCUUCCCUUGUAUUACGAAUUGUAUAUACUGAACAGAUUGCUUAUGUUGCACAUCGCCCUUUGCUUGU